AGUGAACGCUGGCGGUAGGCCUAACACAUGCAAGUCGAACGGCAGCACAGUAAGAGCUUGCUCUUACGGGUGGCGAGUGGCGGAAGGGUGAGGAAUACAUCGGAAUCUCCUUUUUCGUGGGGGAUAACGUAGGGAAACUUACGCUAAUACCGCAUACGACCUACGGGUGAAAGCAGGGGAUCUUCGGACCUUGCGCGAUUGAAUGAGCCGAUGUUGGAUUAGCUAGUUGGCGGGGUAAAGGCCCACCAAGGCGACGAUCCGUAGCUGGUCUGAGAGGAUGAUCAGCCACACUGGAACUGAGACACGGUCCAGACUCCUACGGGAGGUAGCAGUGGGGAAUAUUGGACAAUGGGCGCAAGCCUGAUCCAGCCAUACCGCGUGGGUGAAGAAGGCCUUCGGGUUGUAAAGCCCUUUUGUUGGGAAAGAAAAGCAGCAGGUUAAUACCCCGCUGUUCUGACGGUACCCAAAGAAUAAGCACCGGCUAACUUCGUG
rnacentral:rRNA from 1 species